rnacentral:lncRNA from 1 species
GAUGUUCACAUUGCAGUAUUUUUCAAAUACUAUUUAAUUACUUUGUCAUUUUAUGACUUUAAUAGUUAGCAUAAGAGGGAAGUGUUAAUUCUAAAUAAUUUAGUUAUCUUUGUUAGUAUUUUAUAGAACAAUACUAAAAGGCUCGUGCAAGUAAAUGAACUUCUUUUCUGAACAUGAGGAAUACACAUUGUGUGGAACCAUCGAUUCGUGGUUAUUGAUUCGCCAAGAGGGUUUAUAUAGAAAAUCAUCUUUUCCUUUGGUUUGAUUAUCUAGAACACAAUAGAAUACAAAAAAGUUUUUGAAUCAAAAUUUACAAAAAAAAAAACGUCAAAAUCUGGAUUACUGUUAGCGUUCAAUGGAAGUUUGCAACAAUACAGCACAUAAUUGAUUUGUUGAAAUUCUGCCUUAACAGUUUUAUAGUAUCUAAAGAUGACCUUAUUUUA